UGAGGUGUCAUUUCUGACAGUGUUCUCCU
rnacentral:piRNA from 1 species